UGAAACUGUUGUGUGACACUCCAGUCCGUGAUGCAUGAUGGGUAAUGAGACUAGCAACACCCUAGCAACGCAUACGUAAACACACGUCGACUAAAGUAAAUCAAACAGCUGUUAUAUCGUCAUAUUAACAACAAAAAGACACAAUGCAAGCAGACAACGUAAGAUAUUUAAAAAGAUGACAUGAAGAAGAAACCUUGCAAGGAACCAGACUCGAAAUGGGAAUCCAUUCCUCUUCUGGGUGACACCGGAUAGUGUGACUCCAAAUCAUGACUCUUCUACAACUGUAUACUGGUAUCCAUGUUGGGUUGUCCAGAGAGCAGAGAGAAAGUCAAGGGAGGUAGUCUGGAUGUCCAUCCUACAGAGAAAGCCCUUAUUGUCCAGUAUGAAGUGGAAGCGACUAUAAUGGGCGAAAUGGGAGGCCCGAUGCUUGGAGAACGCAAGGCGUGUCAGAAAACUGUUCGUCUGAAAAGCCUUAAUGCCAGCACGGAUAUUGGGUCAUUAGCGCGGAAAGUGGUGGAGGAAUGCAAGCUCAUUUCACCAUCCAAGCUCCCAGAAGUGGAGCGACUGCUCUUCUACCUACAGAACCGCAAUUCAGCUCCAGAGAAAAAAGAGAAGAAGCAGAUAAAGCCAAGAGAUCCUGCUCCGUUUGAAGGCAUGGAGCUGGACGAGGAGGCCAACAUUAACAGCAUCGAUGACUACGUGGAGCUGCUGUACGAGGACUUUCCAGAGAAAAUCAGAGGAGCCACGCUUAUUCUGCAGCUGGCCCGUAAUCCUGACAACCUGGAGGAGCUGCUUCAGAACGAAACAGCUUUGGGAGCCCUGGCACGAGUACUGAGGGAGGACUGGAAGCAGAGCAUAGACUUGUCAACUACCAUCAUCUACAUCUUCUUUUGUUUCUCCAGUUUCAUCCAGUUCCAUGCGCUCAUCACUCACUAUAAGAUUGGCGUUCUGUGCAUGGGCAUCAUGGAGCAUGAGCUGAAGAGGUACGACCUGUGGCAGGAGGAGCUGCAGAAGAAGAAGCGAGCUGAUAUCCUUUCUGCGUGGUUGGUCAGAGUCCUUGACAGGGUUGAACGGGAGGAAGACCCAGAGAACCAAAAUCUGAAGAAAGAGUAUGAGAAAGCGCUGAAGAAGUACCACGGCUUGCUGACCAAGCAGGAACAGCUGCUGAGAGUGGCUCUGUAUCUACUGCUGAACCUGUCUGAGGACACGCGCAUAGAGCUGAAGAUGAGGAACAAAAAUAUAGUGCACUUGCUGGUGAAAACCCUGGACCGGGAAAGUGAGGAGCUCCUGGUGCUCGUCGUGUCCUUUCUGAAGAAGCUCAGCAUCUUCCUGGAGAACAAGAACGAUAUGGCUGAAACGGACACUGUGGAGAAGUUGGCUAAGCUGGUCCCUUGUGAUCAUGAGGAUCUGCUGAAUGUCACUCUGCGUCUCCUCCUCAACCUCUCCUUCGAUACAGGCCUCCGCAGCAAGAUGGUGCAGGUGGGCCUGCUGCCCAAGCUCACCGCGCUGCUAGGAGAUGAAGCACAGAAGCAUUUAGCCAUGCGCAUACUGUACCAUAUUAGCAUGGAUGACCGCUUCAAGUCCAUGUUCGCCUACACAGACUGUAUUCCACAGGUGAUGAAGAUGUUGUUUGAUUGCGGUGAGGAAGGCGCAGACCCAGAGCUCAUCUCCUUCAGCAUCAAUCUGGCAGCCAACAAGAGAAAUGCACAGCUCAUUUGUGAAGGUAAUGGACUGAAGAUGCUGAUGAAGAGAGCGUUCAAGCUGAAGGAUCCACUGAUGAUGAAAAUGAUCCGGAACAUCUCCCAACACGACGGACCUUCCAAGAAUUUAUUCAUUGAUUAUGUCGGAGACCUUGCCGCUCAGAUUGGUCAGAACGAGGACGAGGAGUUCAUGAUCGAGUGUUUGGGGACACUCGCUAACCUCACCAUCCCUGACCUGGACUGGGAGCUGGUGCUUAAAGAAUACAACCUAGUACCCUUCCUUAAAGACCACCUCAAACCUGGUUCUGCAGAAGACGACCUUGUACUGGAGGUGGUGAUAAUGAUCGGCACGGUCUCUAUGGAUGACUCCUGCGCCGCCAUGUUAGCCAAGUCAGGCAUCAUCCCUGCUCUUAUAGAGCUACUCAAUGCUCAACAGGAGGAUGAUGAGUUUGUUUGUCAAAUCGUAUACGUCUUCUACCAGAUGGUGUUUCACCAGGCCACUCGAGACGUCAUUAUAAAGGAGACCCAAGCUCCAGCUUACCUCAUCGACCUGAUGCAUGACAAGAACGCUGAAAUCUGCAACGUGUGUGACAACACACUGGAUAUUAUAGCCGAAUAUGAUGAAGAAUGGGGGAGGAAGAUCCAGAGCGAGAAGUUCCGCUGGCACAACUCUCAGUGGCUGGAGAUGGUUGAGAAUCGGCAGAUGGAUGAAGUGGAACCCUUCUUGUACGGCGAUGAAGGAGAGCCCUUUUUACAGGGAGCGGACAUUCUGGAGCGGCCCGACCUCUUCUACAGUGCAGUAGAUGGAUUAAUCUCUGCAGAUGCUGCCAUCACUCCAGACUUCUUUACAGACUUUCAAAAUGGAGACUAUGUUGCAUCACAGGGUUUCCCUGGCAGUGCUGUCUCCGAGAGAUAUGGUCAGGGGGCAGGGGGACCCAUGCGGCCUGCUACAGCCUACGGUUUCCGGCCCGAUGAGCAAUACUACUACAGCUACUCAGCAUCACGUACAGAUUUAGUCUGUCCUUUAAUCUACAGUGUGUUUGCUAUAAGUGACAUACACUUGUGUAAUGAAACUUCGAAGGCACUACAUGUACCCAGAUUUCAGCAGCCUUUUAAAACAUAGAUUUUGCAUGAAGUAUUAGACACGUAGCUUGGUUCUGAGGUCCAGUUCAUUGCAGCUAUAGUAAAUGUGUUAUUUCUUGAAUGCAUUGCAUGACUGAGUACAGUGUAGUAUAGAAUUCACCUAUCAUGAAGCUCACACACAUUAAAGCACUCAGGCAUUUGAGACACUUUCCAAGGUGUGUACUUGUGAGGGUAUUUGACACUUGCUUUGACACAAGUCUUGAAUGUAUUUAUUGACCUGUAAGAAAUGUUUGUUGUAAUGCUUUUUAUCUGUGUCUCAUGACCAGCUGCUCGGCAGCUUACAGUGCACUGUUUAAUGUUAUGAUUUGCUUUUAUAAUUGAAACAUUUUGUAUGUGUGAAAUUUUUAAUUUUAAAUAUUUCAGUAUCAUUUUAUGUUAUCAAAUUUUUUAUUUCUUUUUUUAUAUAUAUAUAUUGUCAGUUUACACUAAAUGUACGUGCUUAUGUGUUUUUUGGUCCCUGUGGAUUGUCUUAACUGCUGUUUUGUACAAGAUGCCUAUUAUUUCUGUGGUGCAAUAUUAAAGCAAACAAAUAUGAACAGAAUUUGGUGCUUGCCUUUUGUUUGCAUUGUUUCCAUUGAAGGUGGAAUAGUGUUCAGGACUAAACGCAAGCAGCUCUGUACAGUCUGUCCCGCUGUGUUGUCCAGGGUUGAGGCAGGGCCCAAUUCAAUGACAACUCCUUAAAAUUACUCAGGCUUCUGAAAGCCAAACAGCACAAUGUAAGGAGCACCGAAUCCCUGUAAAGGUCUAUUCACAUCACACACCUGUCUGGAAUGAAAACGCACAUGAGAUCUCCAUACAGGAAAAGAGUCCCAUGAAAGUAACUUCUGAAUAACCCUAAACAACGUGUCAUCAUGGAGACCAAAGAGCUACCAAAAACAUCUGGAUGAGACCAUUCACCAAAUUCAGGGUAAGGAGAACCAGUUAAAUCAGAUGCAUUUAUGACAAAGAACUGCACAGAUGCAGAUGUCACGGCUGUGGAUUUGAGGAGAGUUGACUGCUGGAAGUCAAAGAUGUCGUAUUUAAGUCUAUGUUCUGCUUGUUCAACAGUUGUUUGUUAAAUUGCUAUUAAACACAUUCGGACAGAUUUGAAGCGCUAGUUUUAUUCUCAAUUCUUAUUGUUUUGUUUAUGGGGCAUCAGAAAUUCAGGCAAACUGGUAUACCGUCUUCUAACAGUAAAACUAAUGAUGUUUUCUAGCUGUAAUUCUAACAUGACAAGAAGCCAAGUACAACAUGGCAAGCACCACAUCACACACGACACUGCUGUCAAACUUAUUAAUACAUUCAAAAAGACUGGAAGAGUUUCAGACCAACAGGAAAGUGGACAUCCACGAACACCUGGUGCUGGCGUACAUAGUCCCCUAUGUAUAGAGACUUUUGGGACACCCUGUAUAUUCAAAAACUACUACUUUUACACUUCACUAAUCUGUAUACUAUAUGUGAUACCAUAUGUAUCACAUGAAUGUAAUACAGUAAGUAUGAUAUAAAUG